rnacentral:rRNA from 1 species
UACGUAGGGGGGCUAGCGUUGUCCGGAAUCAUUGGGCGUAAAGCGCGUGUAGGCGGUCCGGUAAGUCCGCUGUGAAAGUCGGGGGGCUCAACCCUCGAAUGCCGGUGGAUACUGUCGGGCUAGAGUACGGAAGAGGCGAGUGGAAUUCCUGGUGUAGCGGUGAAAUGCGCAGAUAUCAGGAGGAACACCAAUUGCGAAGGCAGCUCGCUGGGACGUUACUGACGCUGAGACGCGAAAGCGUGGGGGAGCAAACAGG